rnacentral:rRNA from 1 species
CACGUAGGGUGCGAGCGUUGUCCGGAAUUAUUGGGCGUAAAGAGCUCGUAGGCGGUUUGUCGCGUCUGCCGUGAAAAUCCGGGGCUCAACCCCGGACUUGCGGUGGGUACGGGCAGACUAGAGUGUGGUAGGGGAGACUGGAAUUCCUGGUGUAGCGGUGAAAUGCGCAGAUAUCAGGAGGAACACCGAUGGCGAAGGCAGGUCUCUGGGCCACUACUGACGCUGAGAAGCGAAAGCGUGGGGAGCGAACAGG